CAAAAGUUUUGUAAUCAGAAGUGCUACCUGAUAUCUAGAAAGAGUCUUAACUCUCAUGGAUCUCCGUCUGGACCGCAUGAACAUAGGUCCCAGGCCCCAAGCCAUGCUCUCCAAAACAGUUCUGCCGCCUGCUUCUUGAGUGGGAGGGCACGGAUGAGCCAGGGCCAGCACCAGAAGUGACUUUUAGGGACUGCUGCCACGUUCUCACCUGCAUGCCUCCGUUUCCCCUCUGGUAUCUAAGAGAGAGUAAUUCAGACCCCAGACUCAGCCGGUAGAGAGGAGAAGCAGCUGCAUGUUGGGGACUAUGGCCAAAGUCAGAGAGAACCAGCUUGACUUCAGAGGGACAGCUUGACAGUGUAACUUCAAAGAAGAAUCUGGCCAGAGACUGCUGGACCUCAGGGGAAGAUUACCUACAUUCCCUGGCCCCUUUUCAACCUCCCUUCCCUCUGAGAGCCACUUUCAUCAGCAAUAAAAU
rnacentral:lncRNA from 1 species